rnacentral:lncRNA from 1 species
UCAGCUCUAUGGCGUGCGAUGGGUCUUGUGUUGCGAUCGACAUAGGUGGUUCCCUCUUGCAGGUGUCGUGCGACUGUUAAGUUGUUGUCGACUUUAUUCGGGACCAUUCUCAGUGCUUAAUUGCUUUAUUCGAUCAGGUAGUUUUGUUUACGGGUUUCUUACAGGUUGUUAGGGGUUUUUGUUGUAGUGGCUGAGUUUAUGCCGGCUUUUGUUGGCUUGAUGUUUGUACCCAUGUUGAGAGGAUUUUUUCUCAACUUUAUCCUUAUUUAUAUAUCAUUUAACUUUC